rnacentral:other from 1 species
AACGACCUGAGAUGUGCGUGACCUCAGAUAAUUCAACCACAUAGAUUACUAGGGAGUCUACGUUUAGUAAGCUAUAAAAUGCCUUAGUCCUAGCGGACUUUGGACUUUAGAAUUUAUUAACCGGACACCCACCUGAAAAGAGGCGGGUGUGAAUUAAAUGAGGGAACGGCAUAUCGGGUUAAAA